GACGAACGCUGGCGGCGUGCUUAACACAUGCAAGUCGAACGGAAAGGCCCCCUUGUGGGGUACUCGAGUGGCGAACGGGUGAGUAACACGUGAGUAACCUACCCUUGACUUUGGGAUAACUUCAGGAAACUGGGGCUAAUACCGGAUAGGAGCUCCUGCUGGAUGGUGGGGGUUGGAAAGUUUCGGCGGUUGGGGAUGGACUCGCGGCUUAUCAGCUUGUUGGUGGGGUAGUGGCUCACCAAGGCUUUGACGGGUAGCCGGCCUGAGAGGGUGACCGGCCACAUUGGGACUGAGAUACGGCCCAGACUCCUACGGGAGGCAGCAGUGGGGAAUAUUGCACAAUGGGCGGAAGCCUGAUGCAGCAACGCCGCGUGCGGGAUGACGGCCUUCGGGUUGUAAACCGCUUUCGCCUGUGACGAAGCGUGAGUGACGGUAAUGGGUAAAGAAGCACCGGCUAACUACGUG
rnacentral:rRNA from 1 species